GGCCUAACACAUGCAAGUCGAGCGGAUGAAGGGAGCUUGCUCCUGGAUUCAGCGGCGGACGGGUGAGUAAUGCCUAGGAAUCUGCCUGGUAGUGGGGGAUAACGUCCGGAAACGGGCGCUAAUACCGCAUACGUCCUGAGGGAGAAAGUGGGGGAUCUUCGGACCUCACGCUAUCAGAUGAGCCUAGGUCGGAUUAGCUAGUUGGUGGGGUAAAGGCCUACCAAGGCGACGAUCCGUAACUGGUCUGAGAGGAUGAUCAGUCACACUGGAACUGAGACACGGUCCAGACUCCUACGGGAGGCAGCAGUGGGGAAUAUUGGACAAUGGGCGAAAGCCUGAUCCAGCCAUGCCGCGUGUGUGAAGAAGGUCUUCGGAUUGUAAAGCACUUUAAGUUGGGAGGAAGGGCAGUAAGUUAAUACCUUGCUG
rnacentral:rRNA from 1 species